rnacentral:misc_RNA from 1 species
GAUGAAGAACGCAGCGAAUUGCGAUAAGUAAUGUGAAUUGCAGAUUUUCAGUGAAUCAUCGAAUCUUUGAACGCACCUUGCGCUCCUUGGUAUUCCGGGGGGCAUGCCUGUCCGAGCGUCAUUACAACCCUCAAGCUCAGCUUGGUGUUGGGCCCCGCCGCCCCGGCGGGCCCUAAAGUCAGUGGCGGUGCCGUCCGGCUCCGAGCGUAGUAAUUCUUCUCGCUCUGGAGGUCCGGUCGUGUGCUCGCCAGCAACCCCCAAUUUUUUUCAGGUUGACCUCGGAUCAGGUAGGGAUACCCGCUGAACUUAAGCAUAUCAAUAAGCGGAGGA